UCGGGUGUGGUUCACGGUGCGCGGCGACGUUAUGUUGCAUCUACGCGUGAGCAUUUCAUAGUCGCAGACCGGGGUUCGACUCCCCGCACCCGAA